CUCAUUCGGAUCGGAGUCUGNAACCCGACUCCGUGAAGCUGGAUUCGCUAGUAAUCGCGCAUCAGCCAUGGCGCGGUGAAUACGUUCCCGGGCCUUGUACACACCGCCCGUCAAGCCAUGGAAGCCGGGGGCGCUUGAAGUGCGUUGCCGCAAGGCGCGCCCUAGAGCGAAACCGGUGACUGGGGCUAAGUCGUAACAAGGUACC
rnacentral:rRNA from 1 species